rnacentral:lncRNA from 1 species
AUUAUGCAUAUGAGUUAUGAAACUAUAGUUUGGAAUAGUAGAUGGUUUUCGUCACUUCAUGUAGUCUAUUUCAACCAUAGCCUCUAAUUGUUAACAAAUUGAUUUUUGGUUUGAACAUUUAUUAUAUUUUCAAACUGGUUGGUUCAGACCACUGUGUUGGUUUGAUUAGUGACUCCAAAGUUUUUCCUUAAAGGGGUCACAAAAUUAAAUGUAUCCUGCAAUUCAAGCCAGCUAAUAUCUGUAUCCUUUGCAUAGUUUUUCGAUAUGGUUACUAAGGUUUAAGUUUAAGAAAAGCUUCCAAAUCAAGAAGCAUCGGUUGACAUAAUUAGACUACAACAUGAAUCUUUCACAGUUAAUUAUUAUCACUGUGGAUAUGUGAAUUUGUUGCUUAAGGUAUUUCCCUUUUUAUUUGAUUUGUUUUGGAUUUAAUCAAAGUUCCCUUGUAGAAGAAGGGUGGUACUACUUUUGUGCUCUUUGGAUUUUAGGUACAGAAGAAUUCACUGUCUUUUCCUUUUGAUUUUAAUUAGCACAUGUUGUUUGUUUCCUUUUAAAUUAUGAAGCUUAAUUAGCUAAAAUCAUAUCCGUCUCUUUUGCUCUCCACUCCCUCUGUUUAAAAAGAUUGCAGUUAGAAUCUUCUCUUUGUUUGUAUUUGAUUAACUUUACAGCUUAGGAUUCUUUUUAGCAUUUCGUAUUUCGUUAGAAACUUUAAUACUAAAAAAGAGUUACUUCAAGUUUUACUAUAAAAUUUCUGGAUAAUAAUCUUACAUCUUAUACAUAAUGCUUAAUAUUCUACUGUUUAUCAGGGUUAAACUGCAUUUACUCAUAUUCUGUCCCAACUAGCUGAAGAGAUUUUAAAAGUUUCUCUUACAAAAGUUCUGCUCAGAACUCUGAUAGAGACUGGAGAAAAACAUGGUUCAGACAUUGGAGGCCAUCAAAGGUGGUGGAGGGUCCAUCAAAGUUGGAACCAUUGAGACAAAUCUUCUGCACCUACUAUUCUGGCACCUGGUGGUGUUACGUCUCCCAAAAGAUUAAGGCCAAGAUCAUCAGCUAAUGAAGCAAGUAGUAAUCGCAGCAGCAAUAUAAAUAGAAACCCGAAAAAUCACCAUUUGUAGUACUGUCUUCCAUAGUAAGCAGCUAGAACUGCUUAGUAUUGUUGAGUUGUUUUUGUUUUAAAGACAUGCAUGUUAGUUUCUAAAUAACAUCCAUAUUCUGUAAUGUUGUUGAGUGAGUCAUUAGAAAUUAAUUUUAUCUCUGGAUUGGCUUGCUUUUCAGAUAAUAAGUUGGUCUCAAUUGCCUAAUUGAGGUCCUUAAUGUCAAUUACAUUCCACAAAAACAAAAAGUUGUAUAGCGUACAACAUUCAAAUGUUAUAAAUAUUACAGAAAAAUGAAAUAUCAAACUUAGAUAAUAAUCAACUGCUCUUAGUAUUUUAAUUCUGAAUCCUCAUAUGGAUUAAUAAUCUUUUGUAAUAGAAUACAACAAUCUCAUUUAUAUUUCAGUAUUCUACAAGUACUUUAAUCUGCCUAAGUAUGCGAAUUUCUGGCUUGCAAAUCAACUGAUAAUUUUUUUCCAGAUACCAAAUUCCACAUUAGCUACUCAAUUAUUUACUUUACUUUAUUCAAAGCUGCGAUUGCAUACUCUCCCUAAAUCCGGCAUUAGCCAUUCCUCUUGCAGCUGGAGUUGGAAGACACAUUUCCACGCAUUGCAAGAACAUCGGAUGAAGUUGCACCACCCCAAUAGUCCAUACCAAUAUUUAAGUUGGUCGUGGGACCAGGAACACCUCCUGGAGCACCAGCGGCAGAAAUUGGUAUGAUGGAAAGAGAUUGAUUCACCAUUGAGUGAUGCACAUUAUGUCCUCCAUUCUGUGAACCAUGAGAAUUUCCAUUCUAAGAUGCUUCAGCUGUGGCAAAAAUAACAUGAUGUUGUUUCAUUAGCACCUUCCAGAGAAUCUUGCCUGCUUCCCAACUUCAUUUGUGAGUCCUUCACAAAAUCAUUGAGACAUAAGAUCAGAAGAAAAGAGCAACACAGGAAGAUAUGUUUUAGUUAAUUAUAGAUCCAAAAUAUGGCUAAAUACUAAUUGAAACUUAACUCGUCAAAUGAAGGGAACUCUUUUAAAAGCAUAAUCAUGAAAUAACUUUGGCUCACAUUAACAACAAAACGAAUAUGAAGUCCAGACCCAGUAUUAAUAAUAUGUAACCUUUCAGAGGGGGGGAAAUUGGUAAGAUGUAAGUUAUAGUCAAGGUUGGAGAAUUUGAUUUCUUCCAUAAACAUCAUACUAGAUAGAACAUUACUCCAAAACUACAAGACAUGAGUAUAUG